AAAUUGAAGAGUUUGAUCAUGGCUCAGAUUGAACGCUGGCGGCAGGCCUAACACAUGCAAGUCGAACGGCAGCACAGAAGAGCUUGCUCUUUGGGUGGCGAGUGGCGGACGGGUGAGUAAUGUCUGGGAAACUGCCCGGUGGAGGGGGAUAACUACUGGAAACGGUAGCUAAUACCGCAUAACGUCGCAAGACCAAAGUGGGGGACCUUCGGGCCUCACACCAUCGGAUGUGCCCAGAUGGGAUUAGCUAGUAGGUGGGGUAAUGGCUCACCUAGGCGACGAUCCCUAGCUGGUCUGAGAGGAUGACCAGCCACACUGGAACUGAGACACGGUCCAGACUCCUACGGGAGGCAGCAGUGGGGAAUAUUGCACAAUGGGCGCAAGCCUGAUGCAGCCAUGCCGCGUGUAUGAAGAAGGCCUUCGGGUUGUAAAGUACUUUCAGCGGGGAGGAAGGCGGUGAGGUUAAUAACCUCGCCGAUUGACGUUACCCGCAGAAGAAGCACCGGCUAACUCCGUGCCAGCAGCCGCGGUAAUACGGAGGGUGCAAGCGUUAAUCGGAAUUACUGGGCGUAAAGCGCACGCAGGCGGUCUGUUAAGUCAGAUGUGAAAUCCCCGGGCUUAACCUGGGAACUGCAUUUGAAACUGGCAGGCUUGAGUCUCGUAGAGGGGGGUAGAAUUCCAGGUGUAGCGGUGAAAUGCGUAGAGAUCUGGAGGAAUACCGGUGGCGAAGGCGGCCCCCUGGACGAAGACUGACGCUCAGGUGCGAAAGCGUGGGGAGCAAACAGGAUUAGAUACCCUGGUAGUCCACGCCGUAAACGAUGUCGACUUGGAGGUUGUGCCCUUGAGGCGUGGCUUCCGGAGCUAACGCGUUAAGUCGACCGCCUGGGGAGUACGGCCGCAAGGUUAAAACUCAAAUGAAUUGACGGGGGCCCGCACAAGCGGUGGAGCAUGUGGUUUAAUUCGAUGCAACGCGAAGAACCUUACCUGGCCUUGACAUCCAGAGAACUUAGCAGAGAUGCUUUGGUGCCUUCGGGAACUCUGAGACAGGUGCUGCAUGGCUGUCGUCAGCUCGUGUUGUGAAAUGUUGGGUUAAGUCCCGCAACGAGCGCAACCCUUAUCCUUUGUUGCCAGCGGUUCGGCCGGGAACUCAAAGGAGACUGCCGGUGAUAAACCGGAGGAAGGUGGGGAUGACGUCAAGUCAUCAUGGCCCUUACGGCCAGGGCUACACACGUGCUACAAUGGCGCAUACAAAGAGAAGCGACCUCGCGAGAGCAAGCGGACCUCAUAAAGUGCGUCGUAGUCCGGAUUGGAGUCUGCAACUCGACUCCAUGAAGUCGGAAUCGCUAGUAAUCGUAGAUCAGAAUGCUACGGUGAAUACGUUCCCGGGCCUUGUACACACCGCCCGUCACACCAUGGGAGUGGGUUGCAAAAGAAGUAGGUAGCUUAACCUUCGGGAGGGCGCUUACCACUUUGUGAUUCAUGACUGGGGUGAAGUCGUAACAAGGUAACCGUAGGGGAACCUGCGGUUGGAUCACCUCCUUA
rnacentral:rRNA from 1 species